rnacentral:rRNA from 1 species
UACGUAGGGCGAAAGCGUUGUCCGGAAUUAUUGGGCGUAAAGAGCUCGUAGGCGGUUUGUCGCGUCUGCUGUGAAAACCUAAGGCUCAACCUUGGGCUUGCAGUGGGUACGGGCAGACUAGAGUGCGGUAGGGGUGACUGGAAUUCCUGGUGUAGCGGUGGAAUGCGCAGAUAUCAGGAGGAACACCGAUGGCGAAGGCAGGUCACUGGGCCGCAACUGACGCUGAGGAGCGAAAGCAUGGGGAGCGAACAGG